rnacentral:misc_RNA from 1 species
GUGAAUCAUCGAAUCUUUGAACGCAAAUUGCACUCUCUUCUGAGAGGAUGCCUGUUUGAGGGUCAGUAUUAAUAAAAAUCGGUGUGUUGCUUCUUGGGGACGGUCCGGGGGUUGGGUCAUCGUAAUAUCCUUUAGGGUUUAAGAGGCUUAAAAUUGACUUUUUGUGCGCAUUUUAGAUGUACAUAAAUUCUUUGUUUUAUUCGUCUGUCUUAAUGCUCAAAAUCCUAUUAGAUGGGACCGCAUGGUGUGGUUCCUUGUCCAUA